rnacentral:rRNA from 1 species
AAGCACCCGAAGACGAGCGACCUAGGCCUGAGCAGGUUGAAAAGCUCAGAAGUGAGUUUUGGAGGACCGAACCCGUGACUGUGGCAAUAGUCUGGGAAGACUUGGGUCUAGGAGUGAAAGGCUAAUCAAGCUCGUGCAUAGCUGGUUUUUGGAGAAAUGCAUUUAGGUGCAGCGUUGGGGUUCCGCAGGACUGCGGAACCGUAGGAAAAUAUAGAUUUGUAAGGAAAAGAAUGGGUGUGGGUGGGUCUAAGCUGCUACGCUCCCGUUCUAACUCUGAAGAGUCUAUACAUUUGCCCCAAUAGUGAGGCUCUGGGUGCGAAGGUCCAGAGCCAAAAGGGAAACAGCCCAUAAAGUACAUUAAGGUCCUCCAAUAAGAACUCCGUGGAAAAAAGAGUUAUUCGGCAUAUACCCUUCAGAGGUAGGCUUGGAAGCAGCCAGUCUGGCAUGAAAGCGUAAUGGCUCACGGAG